rnacentral:rRNA from 1 species
GUAACACGUAGUCAACAUGCCCAGGGGACGUGGAUAACCUCGGGCAACUGAGGAUAAACCGCGAUAGGUCACUACUUCUGGAAUGGGUAAUGACUCAAACCUAUAUGGCCCCUGGAUUGGACUGCGGCCGAUCAGGCUGUUGGUGAGGUAAUGGCCCACCAAACCUGUAACCGGUACGGGCUCUGAGAGGAGGAGCCCGGAGAUGGGCACUGAGACAAGGGCCCAGGCCCUAUGGGGCGCAGCAGGCGCGAAACCUCUGCAAUAGGCGAAAGCCUGACAGGGUUACUCUGAGUGAUCUCCGUUAAGGAGAUCUUUUGGCACCUCUAAAAAUGGUGCAGAAUAAGGGGUGGGCAAGUCUGGUGUCAGCCGCCGCGGUAAUACCAGCACCCCGAGUGGUCGGGACGUUUAUUGGGCCUAGAGCAUCCGUAGCCGGUUCUACAAGUCUUCCCUUAAAUCCAGCUGCUUAACAGAUGGGCUGCGGAAGAUACUAUGGAACU